rnacentral:rRNA from 1 species
GACGGGGCCCGCACAAGCGGUGGAGCAUGUGGUUUAAUUCGACGCAACGCGAAGAACCUUACCUGGGCUUGACAUCCCGAUCGCACCUUAUGGAAACAUAGGGGUCAGUUCGGCUGGAUCGGUGACAGGUGCUGCAUGGCUGUCGUCAGCUCGUGUCGUGAGAUGUUGGGUUAAGUCCCGCAACGAGCGCAACCCUUGUCCUUAGUUGCCAGCAUUCAGUUGGGCACUCUAAGGAGACUGCCGGUGUCAAACCGGAGGAAGGUGGGGAUGACGUCAAGUCCUCAUGGCCCUUAUGUCCAGGGCUACACACGUGCUACAAUGGCCGGUACAAGGGGGCGCAAGACCGCGAGGUGGAGCAAAUCCCAAAAAACCGGUCUCAGUUCGGAUUGGAGGCUGCAACUCGCCUACAUGAAGUCGGAAUCGCUAGUAAUCGCGGACCAGCACGCCGCGGUGAAUACGUUCCCGGGCCUU